rnacentral:lncRNA from 1 species
AUGUCAUCCACCAGUGUCAGUAGNGGGGUUCUCCAGGAAGGCCCCCUCCACCAACAGGACUAUGCAACAGCCAGGGCUCGGAAGGCCAGGGGCAGAGCCUCCUCCAGCCUAAGCCCACUCAAUAGAACCUGCUCUGGGAACCAAUGGGAGCACAGAGCACUUCCAUCUCUCAGUUCAGUUCAGUUCAGUCCCUCAGUCGCGUCCGACUCUUUGAGACCCCAUGGACUGCAGCACUCCAGGCUUCCCUGUCCAUCACCAACUCCCGAAGCUUACUCAAACUUAGGUCCAUCGAAUCUUCCAUCUCUAGCCUGGCCUAAUCAGGGCCCUACCAAGGAGGCCAAGGACUCUCCUCAUUUGGUGGUAAGAAUAAUAAACCAUCUCCUCACCCUCUCCUAUAAAAAUUCUCUUGGGAAGCACUGGCAAAAAAAUGGAAAUCACCAGCCUUUUAAUCACCAUCAACCUUUAGAUCAGAAAUGA